rnacentral:lncRNA from 1 species
CUCGAAGGUGAUUGCAGGGCGCAGAAGAGGUGUCCAAGGGCUUCAAAGACUUCCCUUAAGGCCUGUCCUGCUUACAAGAAAUGCAAUCAGGGGGAGCAGAAUGACGCAGAGGAGUCUGGAAGCUCAGGAUUGCAUUAAGCGACUUUCCCAUACUUAAGAAUUUGUGGAUCUGAUGUAGAAUUUGCUGCUUCUGACUCCUCGAUUUGAACUCUUCCUAAACUGGGCAUCAACUCCCAGUUCGGUUUCUGGCUAAGCCCCUUUCUUCAAGCAUUUUGCGUGAGCUCCUGGCAUCUUAGCUCCUGUUCUAAAGGAUCUCUCCUUUCUCCUGCACUGGCAGGUAAGUCCCUGUUGCCCCAUGAGUGACAAAGGAGAUUCAGCUUGGUCAGGACUGGGGGCUUGGAGAAGACCACAUCAGCUUGGACAGGACUGGGGAAUCAUAUUUUAGCAUGUGCAUUUUGUAU